rnacentral:rRNA from 1 species
GAUGAACGCUAGCUACAGGCUUAACACAUGCAAGUCGAGGGGCAGCGUGUACAGGUGCUUGCACCAGUACGACGGCGACCGGCGCACGGGUGAGUAACGCGUAUCCAACCUGCCAUAUACUCGGGGAUAGCCCGGUGAAAACCGAAUUAACCCCCGAUGAGAUUCCUUGCGGACAUCCAACUGGAAUCAAAGUUUGACGGUAUAUGAUGGGGAUGCGUCUGAUUAGCUUGUUGGCGGGGUAACGGCCCACCAAGGCGACGAUCAGUAGGGGUUCUGAGAGGAAGGUCCCCCACAUUGGUACUGAGACACGGACCAAACUCC